UACGGAGGGUGCGAGCGUUUGUCCGGAAUCAUUGGGCGUAAAGGGCGCGUAGGUGGCCCGGUCAGUUCGUGGUGAAAGCGCGGGGCUCAACCCUGCGUCGGCCAUGAAUACUGCCGCGGCUGGAGCACUGUAGGGGCGGGUGGAAUUCCGGGUGUAGCGGUGGAAUGCGUAGAGAUCCGGAAGAACACCGGUGGCGAAGGCGGCCCGCUGGGCAGGAAGACACCGCAAGGUGUCGGCUGACGCUGAGGCGCGACAGCGUGGGGAGCAAACAGG
rnacentral:rRNA from 1 species